GGUUCGAUCAUGGCUCAGAUUGAACGCUGGCGGGAUGCUUUACACAUGCAAGUCGAACGGCAGCACGGACUUCGGUCUGGUGGCGAGUGGCGAACGGGUGAGUAAUGUAUCGGAACGUGCCUAGUAGCGGGGGAUAACUACGCGAAAGCGUAGCUAAUACCGCAUACGCCCUUCGGGGGAAAGCGGGGGACCUUCGGGCCUCGCACUAUUAAGGCGGCCGAUAUCGGAUUAGCUGAAUUGGUGGGGUAACGGCUCACCAAGGCGACGAUCCGCUAGCUGGUUUGAGAGGACGACCAGCCACCGGGACUGAGACACGGCCCAGACUCCUACGGGGAGGCAGCAGUGGGGAAUUUUGGACAAUGAAACCUGAUCCAGCCAUCCCGCGUGUGCGAUGAGCCUGAGUUUUCAGCCUUUGGCGGAAAGAAACGGCCUGGGAUAUGCCCGUGCAACUGACGAUACCUGCAGAAUAAGCACCGGCUAACUACGUGCCAGCAGCCCGCGGUAAUACGCAGGGUGCAAGCGUUAAUCGGAAUUACUGGGCGUAAAGCGUGCGCAGGCGGUUCGGAAGAAAGAUGUGAAAUCCCGAAGCCAACUUUACAGACUGCAUUUUCCAACUACCGAGCUAGAGUGUGUCAGAGGGAGGUGGAAUUCCGCGUGUAGCAGUGAAAUGCGUAGAUAUGCGGAGAGGAACACCGAUGGCGAAGGCAGCCUCCUCAGGAUAACACUGACGCUCUUUUUAGCAUUGGGGAGCAAACAGGAUUAGAUACCUGGUAGUCACGCCCUAAACGAUGUCAACUAGCUGUUGGGGCCCUCGGGCCUUGGUAGCGCAGCUAACGCGUGAAGUUGACCGCCGCAGGGAGUACGGUCCGCAAGAUUAGAAACUCAAAGGAAUUGACGGGGACCCGCACAAGCGGUGGAUGAUGUGGAUUAAUUCGAUGCAACGCGAAAAACCUUACCUACCCUUGACAUGUCUGGAAUCGAAGAGAUUUGGGAGUGCUCGCAGAGAACCAGACUGGUGCUGCAUGGCUGUCGUCAGCUAGUAGUGUGGUGAGAUGUUGGGUUAAGUCCCGCAACGAGCGCAGCCCUUGUCGUGGUUGCUACGAAAGGGCACUCCUAAUGGAACUGCCGGUGACAGAACGGGAGGAGGAGUGGGGAUGACGUCAAGUCCUCGCAGCCUAUGGGUAGGGCUUCACACGUCAUACAAUGGUCAGGACGUGAGAGGUGUAACACGGGGGAACUCAAUCCCAGAGAAACCCGAAUCGUAGUCCGGAUCAUGAUCUGCAACUCGACUGCGUGAAGUAAGGAGAUCGCGUAAAGUAAUCGCGGAUCAGCAUAUCUGCGUUGAAUCCCGUUCCCGGUCUUGUACACACCGCCCGUCACACCAUGGGAGUGGGUUUUACCAAAGUAGUUAGCUAACCGUAAGGAGGGCGAUUACCACGGUAGGAUUCAUGACUGGGGUGAAGUCGUAACAAAGGUAA
rnacentral:rRNA from 1 species